rnacentral:rRNA from 1 species
CUUCGGGUCUAGCGGCGGACGGGUUAGUAACGCGUGGGAACGUACCCUUUUCUAAGGAAUAGCCACUGGAAACGGUGAGUAAUGCCUUAUACGCCCUUCGGGGGAAAGAUUUAUCGGAGAAGGAUCGGCCCGCGUUAGAUUAGAUAGUUGGUGGGGUAAUGGCCUACCAAGUCUACGAUCUAUAGCUGGUUUGAGAGGAUGAUCAGCAACACUGGGACUGAGACACGGCCCAGACUCCUACGGGAGGCAGCAGUGGGGAAUCUUAGACAAUGGGCGCAAGCCUGAUCUAGCCAUGCCGCGUGAGUGAUGAAGGCCUUAGGGUCGUAAAGCUCUUUCGCCUGUGAAGAUAAUGACUGUAGCAGGUAAAGAAACCCCGGCUAACUCCGUGCCAGCAGCCGCGGUAAUACGGAGGGGGUUAGCGUUGUUCGGAAUUACUGGGCGUAAAGCGCGCGUAGGCGGACAUUUAAGUCAGGGGUGAAAUCCCGGGGCUCAACCCCGGAACUGCCCUUGAUACUGGGUGUCUUGAGUUCGAGAGAGGUGAGUGGAAUUCCGAGUGUAGAGGUGAAAUUCGUAGAUAUUCGGAGGAACACCAGUGGCGAAGGCGGCUCACUGGCUCGAUACUGACGCUGA